UACGUAGGGGGCAAGCGUUUGUCCGGAAUCAUUGGGCGUAAAGCGCGUGUAGGCGGCUAGGUAAGUCUGCUCUGAAAGCCCGGGGCUCAACCUCGAGACGCCGGUGGAAACCAUCUAGCUAGAGUCCGGAAGAGGAGAGUGGAAUUCCUGGUGUAGCGGUGAAAUGCGCAGAUAUCAGGAAGAACACCCGUGGCGAAGGCGGCUCUCUGGGACGUGACUGACGCUGAGACGCGAAAGCGUGGGGAGCGAACAGG
rnacentral:rRNA from 1 species